rnacentral:rRNA from 1 species
AUUGAACGCUGGCGGAAUGCUUUACACAUGCAAGUCGAACGGCAGCACGGACUUCGGUCUGGUGGCGAGUGGCGAACGGGUGAGUAACAUAUCGGAACGUAUCCAAUAAUGGGGGAUAACGAGUCUAAAGAUUCGCUAAUACCGCAUACGCCCUACGGGGGAAAGCUGGGGACCUUCGGGCCUGGCGUUAAUGGAGCGGCCGAUAUCUGAUUAGCUAGUUGGUGAGGUAAAGGCUCACCAAGGCGACGAUCAGUAGCUGGCCUGAGAGGACGACCAGCCACACUGGAACUGAGACACGGUCCAGACUCCGACGGGAGGCAGCAGUGGGGAAUUUUGGACAAUGGGCGCAAGCCUGAUCCAGCCAUUCCGCGUGAGUGAAGAAGGCCUUCGGGUUGUAAAGCUCUUUCGCAAGGGAAGAAAACUUAGCCACUAACAUUGGUUGAGGUUGACGGUACCUUGAUAAGAAGCACCGGCUAACUACGUGCCAGCCGCCGCCGUAA